CAGUCUGCAACUCGACUGCACGAAGUCGGAAUUGCUAGUAAUCGCGGAUCAGCAUGCCGCGGUGAAUACGUUCCCGGGCCUUGUACACACCGCCCGUCACACCAUGAGAGUCGGGAACACCCGAAGUCGGUAGUCUAACCUCGUGAGGACGCCGCCGAAGGUGGGCUUGAUAAUUGGGGUGAAGUCGUAACAAGGUAAC
rnacentral:rRNA from 1 species